rnacentral:rRNA from 1 species
GGGUGACGAGCGGCGGACGGGUGAGUAAUGUCUGGGAAACUGCCUGAUGGAGGGGGAUAACUACUGGAAACGGUAGCUAAUACCGCAUAAUGUCGCAAGACCAAAGUGGGGGACCUUAGGGCCUCUUGCCAUCGGAUGUGCCCAGAUGGGAUUAGCUAGUAGGUGGGGUAACGGCUCACCUAGGCGACGAUCCCUAGCUGGUCUGAGAGGAAGGUCCCCCACAUUGGAACUGAGACACGGUCCAAACUCC